rnacentral:rRNA from 1 species
UACAGAGGUCCCAAGCGUUGUUCGGAUUCACUGGGCGUAAAGGGUGCGUAGGUGGCAUGGUAAGUUUGAUGUGAAAGCUCAGGGCUUAACCCUGAAAUGGCAUUGAAUACUACUGUGCUGGAGGUUUGGAGGGGGGACUGGAAUUCUUGGUGUAGCAGUGAAAUGCGUAGAUAUCAAGAGGAACACCAGUGGCGAAGGCGAGUCCCUGGACAACACCUGACACUGAGGCACGAAAGCUAGGGGAGCAAACGGG